UGGUGACAGUCGAGCGUCUAAAGUCGAGCUAACUUCUGCUCUAUUUUUAGGCGUUUUGGAAGCGAUGGAGAGUGACUGCACGGAUUUUUGUGCCUCUAACGUGCAGCUCACGUGUUUACGUUAAUUUAAGGAGGACACGCGCUUGUUUUUCGACCUGUUAGCCAGGCUGUUUGUUUCGUGUGCCAUGUUGGAGUAACUUAUUCCAGGAGGUGCCAUGCUCGCCACGCAGACUGAAGCUCCGCACGAGGCUAAGGAUGUUAAAAAGAUCAAAGAGAAGUUGGCGCAGUCGCUCAAGGCCCUGCAGAAACGAUAUGUAGCGUCAGACUCGGUAGUCACCAGUGAUGAUUCCGAUGCUAACCACCUCUGCUGUGCCCUGGAGGCCGUCUUCAUCCACGGUAUCAAGAGCAAGUACAUCCGCUCAGAGUCUCGAAGCAGCAGUAGGAAAGGGGACCGUGGACCCCUCCCUCAGCCUUUUUUCUGGAGCCUCCUCAAGAGUGUCACCCACCGUGAUGUGAUCACAGAGCUGGAGAAGAUAAGCUUUGUGGGCACUGAUGUGGGUCGCUGCCGAGCGUGGCUGCGGCUGGCCCUCAACCACGGCCUCCUGGAGUGCUACCUCGUAUCGUUGUUCCGCGAAGACUCCAAGCUGCAGGCCCAUUAUCAGCCCAGUGCCUUGCUCCUGAACCCGGAGGAGCGAGAGGUUCUGCUCAGCUACCUCCAGGGUCUGGCCUCCCUCACAUUCAGCCUGUCUUACAAGUCAUCUGUCCUCAAUGAGUGGACCACCACGCCUCUGGCUCUUGCCGGACUCUGCCCUUUGUCCCAGGCAGACUUACUCGACCUGCCCCUCAAUGGUGGAGACCCUCCCACCUCCAAGCCCAUAUGGAAGGAAAUUUGGGAUACAGUGUCUCAGUCAUCGGGUUCUUCGGACGCACUGGAUGUACAGAGAGGCUGCCCAGUUUUAGUGGGGAGGGGAUCAGAUCUUUUACAAGGGAGUCAGACUGCUCUUCGUUCUUCUAAUUUAAGCCUGGAUACCACAGGCUCCUCUCAGCUGUCCUCCAGCUUGAGCUCUGACAGCCUUCUGCAGGGACAGGACCCCCGCAGCCCGACAGGAGAGCAUUGGUCUUCAUGUGACUUUGAAGCAGCCAUUAAUCCCAACAUCUGCACCAAGAGGCCACAGAAAGACUCGCUGACUGAUUUCCGGGAGAGCGGACACUGCAGUCAGGACUCGACACAGGAAGACUCAUUUGUCUCCAGCAUGGGUCCUUCUCAGUUCUCUGAGAAGGGUAUUAUCAAUGACAGUGAGCCCCAGGCUUCUGAGUACCAGCCUCCAAACUUUGGACAGCUUGAUUUAGAGCAACCAGAAACAACCACUGAGCUGCCAUCAUCUGAUGAUGAUAAGUGUCCCGCUGAAGUCUGCAAAAGUGCCUUUUCAGAGUUGCACUCGGACAUAGGUCUUGUCUCAGCAGUCAGUGAACCUGCAGAACCUGUGGAGGAAGUAAGUGUGACUGUUGAGCCUGUCCAGGAAGAGAAGCCAACGGAGAGCUCUGAAAAAACCAACGCAGACUCUGUAGUUCAUCAGUGCCCACUUCGCUCUACAAGCAUCUUGAGCAGAAAGUCAUCUUCAGAUUCACUAUCACAUUCUUAUUCUUGGAUCUCAGACGAUGACAUUUAUAAGCCCCAUCUGGAGAAUUUGCCGGACAGCGAUGACGCACCUGUCUCUCCUCCCUCAGCUGAGCCCAGCAUCUCACCGUCACGUCCAAGUGUCGUCCAUCGCAGACAAAUAGGGCUGUCCAACCCCUUUCGAGGGUUGCUGAAGCUCGGUCACCUAGAACGACGCAGCGCCGUAGGAUUAUGGCGCGACUACUACUGCGAGCUGUCACCCUUUGAGUUCCGCCUGUAUGUGAAUGCAGAUGAACGGAUAUGCUGCGAAAACUGCUCCCUGGUGCGAUGUGAAGACGUUCGCAUCACCUCAUCUGAGGGCCGCUUUGACUUGAUCUUUCCUGGAAAACGGCUUUACCUCCGGGCGGCCAAUCAUGAUGAAGCUGAGGACUGGGUGGACCGGAUUAUUGAGGCUGUCAACAAAAGCCGACCAGUACCGCAUGACGAGCAGUGGGAGGUGCUGCACACCGGGUGUGAGAAUGGUGUGGAUGAACGUGCAGUUUCUUCGCCACCCUUGUCCCCUUCCAGCCCUGAGCAAGGCCCGUCUGGUUCUGAUGCUUGUGGAGGGCAGGAUUCGCCAUCUCCUCCUCAGCAGGAAUUUGACUGGACAUCGACUACAGAUUUAGAAACAGAUUCCAUCAAAGAAGCUGUUUUGUACUUCUCCACAGAUCCUGAGGCCCGGACGUGGGAACGUAUGGUUUUCUCUCUCUCCUUGGAGACCUUGAAAGGAUUUCUCGUAAAAGAAGGAAGGAAGCUACAGCGGCUAAACUACCCUGUUGAGGAAAUCCGGGAUGUGGUUCCCGAUGUUUCUCAGGGGGGACCAGCCUUUUUCAAGCUCCUGACAAUCCGAGAAACACUUAGAUUUAGAGCGGAGAAUGAGAAGGAGGCUCGCUUUUGGAGGAAGUUUAUCCGAGAUGCUCUUGACUCAUACCUCGAGAACGGGGAGUGUGAAGGCUCUGAGGUACCUUUGGAAGCGACUGGAAAUCUGUACAGACUGGUGCAGCAUAGGCUAAAAGAAGAUGGAGCACUUCUUGUUCACCUUUUCAAAGUUCCCUCGGAGAAGGGCCUGGACACUCAGAGCUUCAAAUGUGCAGGCUGUCCUCAAAAGAUUGGACUGUCACUGGGCAGAGCCAGGUUAUGUGAGUUCUCUGGGCAGUACUACUGUGAGUCAUGCCACAAAGGUGACACCUCCAUCAUCCCCUCACGCAUGGUGCACAACUGGGAUGUCACCCAUAGAGAGGUGUCUAAGAAAGCCUUGUGGCUGCUGAAGCAGGUAGAACAAGAGCCUCUGAUCAACCUGGAGCAGCUGAACCCUGAGUUGGUUGCGCACACCGAGUCCAUGGGUCAGGCCCAUGAGCAGAGGCAGAAGCUAUGCCUUCUGGGUGAAUAUCUGCGUACCUGCCGCAGUGGAGCCUGCAAGAAACUCCAAGCGAGAAUGGGGCAGCGAACUUACCUGUUGGAGUCAAACCACCUGUACAGUGUCAAGGACUUGCGACAGGUAGCAGAGGGCCAGUAUGUAAACUUUCUGCGCAGGCUGGUGCAACAUGCCUCUAAUCAUGUGUUCAGCUGUGACCUUUGCACCCAGCGUGGCUACAUUUGUCAGAUAUGCCACUCUAAUGACACCAUCUUCCCCUUCCAGUUUGAGACAACCACAAGGUGUGAAGAUUGCAAAGCUUUGUUUCACAUAAGCUGCAAGGCUGAUGAGCAGUCCUGUCCUCGCUGUCAGCGGAUGAGGAAAUACAUGGAGAGGGAUCUGCAGGACUGAGCACGGUCAGUAGGGACAGUGCUGAGCUGUGAGCCACGGGGCCAGACUGUUAAACGAUCUUCACAGACUUUAAUAGCUGAUCAUGGGGACUUCCUGUAAACUUGGUUCCUGCUACAAGUUUGUGCAGUGGAAAAGUGACCAUUGACACUCUUUACUUUGCUUGUCACAUCAAUGUCUUCUUAACCAUCAUGUUUACACAGAAGUGAUCCACAGUACGUUUCCUGUUUGCUCUCGAUGCACAAAUUAUUCAGACAUGAUUUCCAGCAUUAAUAUUUAGUACUGUACUUGUAGAAUAAUGAGAAAUGUUUUGAUUACCAGAUCUUGAUUGUGCCUUGUCUUUUAUUUAAGCUUUACAGUUUUCCCAUGAUAUCUCACUAUUACGGGGCCAAAAUGCUUUUUUUUUUUUUAAAUUUUAACCUAUAAUCAUGCAAUAAAAAAAUUAGAUUGACCAAUUAAAUAUUUAGAUUUAGCGUAAAUAUGAGCGCUUUGUGGAAUGUUUCUCUAUAUAUGUGUGAUUAAACAGGCAAUUCUUAAGGCUCACAGAGGAGAUUUGUUUAUGCUGCUUAUUCAUGCAUUUAAUGAAAUAAUUUAAUAAUAAGUGUGUGGCAAAAACAUAAAACAUUAAGAUUUGAGAUGAGUGUUUAUAAAGUUUAAAACGUAAUUUGCGUAUUUGCACUCGGAAAUGACUGUUAAAUGGAUAUUUCAGCUGAGUUAUUUGAGCUCUAAUAUCUUCAGCCACAUUAAAUUAUCCCUAAACUAAAACCCAGCUGUGUUUCUGAUCUUUUUUUUUCUUUUUCUUUCAUUUUUGACUUUGAACUGAGAAUCAUCAGACUUCUCUGGGGUCUGCAAAGAACAAAAAUAAGUUGAAGAUGUACUGAACUCCAUUUUGCUAUAUGCAGAACAUAUCAUAUGCAAAGGGAAAAUUGCAUAUACUGCAGUACUGUUAUUUCCUGAUUUGUAUUUAUUUUGUCUCAUUAUGUAUGAAUGACUGUAUUGAAAUAAAUGUCAGUGUAUUUGAUUCGGUU